rnacentral:rRNA from 1 species
CGGGGGGCAGCAGUGGGGAAUAUUGGACAAUGGGGGAAACCCUGAUCCAGCAAUGCCGCGUGAGUGAUGAAGGCCUUCGGGUUGUAAAGCUCUUUUGUCAGGGACGAUAAUGACGGUACCUGACGAAUAAGCUCCGGCUAACUUCGUGCCAGCAGCCGCGGUAAUACGAAGGGAGCUAGCGUUGUUCGGAAUUACUGGGCGUAAAGGGCGCGUAGGCGGCUUUAUAAGUCAGAUGUGAAAUCCCUGGGCUUAACCUAGGAAUGGCAUUUGAUACUGUAAGGCUAGAGAUCGAGAGAGGAUAGUGGAAUUGCGAGUGUAGAGGUGAAAUUCGUAGAUAUUCGCAAGAACACCGGUGGCGAAGGCGGCUAUCUGGCUCGAUACUGACGCUAAGGCGCGAAAGCGUGGGGAGCAAACAGGAUUAGAUACCCGAGU